GAAAGGGCGGUAUUUCGCUCCCCAUACAUCACGCCGGCAGCGGGCUGGAAGAAGGAGGCUCCCGCUGGCCGCUGCCUCCGCCGCUCGCUCACCCCCAGGCUGCCCAUGUUCCCCCUCGCCUCACUGUAAGCUCCUGGAAGCUGCAUAACAUUCCAGGGCUCUGAGGUAUAAACGUAUUUAAACCCACGUGCUCAAGAAGGAAAUACGAUCUAUUUAUUUUGCUUUCUAAUGUGUGCCUCACCAAAGAGAUGGAAACCUGUAACGGGAGUAUGACUUCCCCCACUGGAAAAGGAAACAAAGGAGCAGGGCAAAGUUCUGUCUCUGCCAAGCCUCCAUGUCGGUCUCAAUGAGGGGCCAUCACCAUGUGGGGCCCUCUGGACUCUGUCACCUGGUGGGACCCUGUGGCUUGUGAGGAGAAGAAUCAAACUGCUGUUGCUGAGGGCCUUCUCAGAUGCUAAACUUACCUGAAGAUCUUAAAUGCUAUUAGAAAUUCCACCAUAGCUUGCUGAGAGAAGAAUGCAGAGACAAAGCCGUGAAGCCACGUUCAGAACAGAUGUACUGCAUGUUUUAUAAGCCUUGAAGGGCUUUUUCUGUUGUGCCUGAUGGACUCGCAUCUGCACCUGCAUCUGUACCUAGUGAUUUCUGGAGAACAGUGUCACUGAUUUCAAACAGCCUCUUUGGGGUUCCAUCUUGCCUGCUAAUAUCAUUGUGAAGACACCUGCACAGCACGCAAAAGAGUAAUAGUGACACAUGAGUAUGUAGCGGGGCUGGCCUAAAUUUAGCUUUCACAGAGCCAUUUGAGGCAGAAAAAUGCUCUUAUUUUGUGGGGCAAGAUGUAAUUUCAGAGAAAGCAUCAGAACAACUCCAAGCAGCUGUGUUGUUUGAAACAAACAAGCAAAAAAUCCUAAAUCCACACAACUUCAGUGUGCGAUGGGAAGAUCGGCAACAUUUGGUAAUCAGGUUAGGAACUGGGGAGCAGGAACAGCCAAAUGACUGCUGUCUUCCCCUAAAACCUCAGUAUCCCUAGAAACCACUGUCAUCUCUAUCUUUACCAUGUAUUGCAAAGAAGCAACCUGGUAGUUCAGUCAUUUCAAGAGUUCUAGAUAUUGAUCAGGCUUCUAUGAAUGUGAAAUUUUGGGGGAAGUCAGGGAGUAACUUGUCCUCUGAACUGCUGACAUUGCUGCAGCUGGUCCGUAUGCGGAUGGCAACUUCAGGAGGGAAGGAGAGUGACUGCUUUCACACUGCAUCCUGCUCGUGGAGGCUCUAGUCCUCCUCAAAACCUGCGUCUGUCUGUUCUCUAAACAGUUAGCUCUGGCGAUGCUCUCCCUGCCACUCAGGGCAUUUGGCGUGCAAACCAAUGAAUUUAGUUACUUAACCGAGUUCAGAAUUUCGUUACUUUGAGUUGCUUGUGGGCUGGGGUAACAACGUCAAAAGUGGACAGCAUGAGGAAAACCUGGCAGGCAAACCAAGGUUACAUGAUACAUAAAUUCACAUAGGUGCAGACUGGAGUUUAAUGCAUACGGUGUAGUGUGUGUGCAAUGCGCACAUUUCUUCCCCCUUGGCAGGGUAAUUGCUUUGUGGAUUUCUUGUGGAAAUUAGAUCAAUCUAUAGCUGUGCUGCUAGCUGCUUAUCCCCAAGUUGUCACUCCUUUAGUGUCUGAGCUCUCCCAGUGGGUUGCAAAUUGUUCUAGAUAAAUGGUUGCAUUUAUUUCCUUCUCAUACUGUGUCCAACCACCUGCUUUUUUGUGUUGCUGUAGGAGCUUGUAAAAUACUCCACAGUUCAUAGAUUUUUUGAACUGGAGCCCAUAAACAUGGCAGAACAAAUUUGGAGCCAAUUUCACAGUGGCGCAAGUUGCCAGAAAGGACCAUUAAUUAAAGGAAUCUUCACUCUGUCAUCUGCAGUAAUACUGAUUAAAGGUUUUCCAUUCUAGAUCUUUCAGAUAUAUUCUGUGUAUGAACUUGCAUGAUCUACAACACAGCUAAGGAAAAGGCUUGAGGUUUUUUAAGAGGAGAGGGGUUAUGUUUUUCACUUUUUUGAAAAUGUUCUGAGCUAAGAACCAGAUUUAAACUUGGCAUAAGCGGGUACCUCAUUAAUGCCAAGACUGAUGCAGGGGCCGCACCAGUGCACAUAUUAGUAGUUAUCCCUGAGAGUAUUUGAGAAGUCGAACUGUAAGGCGACAGUCCGAGCUCUUCCCGAUGAGAUGAAGCGUGGAGUAGUGACAUUAGGAAUGUAUUAAGGGAACCAAAGAGGGUGGCUGUUCUUUCUGUUCUUGUGUUUAUACAUCAGUAAGUAAUAUGCCAAGCACAUACCUUACUUUUAUACUAACUAAUAUAAAGGCUUUUCUCUGAUUUAUAGACUGGAAAGGUUAUUUCUUUAAACCUGACAAAUGGUGCGAUUUCAAGUGAGGAACUGAUCCUGCUGUUCUAAGCCAGCUGCAAUGAUCAGUUUGAGCUCAGGAUUAUGUAAGUAGGAGGAAUAAACCUUGGCAGACCAAAUUUGAAAUAUUUGUUUUACACCUCAAAACAGACUGGUAACUGUAAUACAAAUGUUUGUAGAUGAUUUCUUUGAUUUCCAGUGGCAGAGGUAGAUCUGCCAUAAUGUCUGACCAUUGGGCUCUGGAGCAGGCUUUUGCUGAGCAGUGUUUGAUUUCUCCCUUCUCACUGCCCAUUCUUUCCAUUUAUUCUCAUUAAAAAGAGCCUCCUGAAAGUCUGCAGAAUAGUCGAGUGCACAGCUUUCCGAUGAGCUCCCGUGCCAUUUUGCAGCAGGGGAAGGUAGCAAGCAGCUACUUGCAGAAACAGCUAUGGAGAGGUCCUUGAGAUGCGUUCCUCCCUUGAAAGGCUGUUGCAGCAAUAAAGGCCUUAUCCAAAGGCAGAAAGUCAAUGCAAAGACUGACCUGAGAGAAUACAAGCUAUAAAACAAGCCAAACCAAAAUAAACACUGUAAUUAGCAAAGUGGAUUUUUUGUAAGGGUUACAGUUUUAGCAAGAUCAGAUAUUUAUGGCAGUAUAAAAUCUCAUUCCUAGUAUAUAUUUUAAAAUAAAUUUGAAUGGAAGUUAAUAGAAAUUGAUUAAAACUUCAUAUGUAUCAUGCUUUCAUUUUUUCUUAUUCCCUUUCUAAACAGUUUUUAAUGAAAUUAGUAUUACCAGACAGUCUGCUCAUCUCACUUAUGACAUCUUAAAAGGCAUUUUCCAUUUCUUUAAAAUCCUUUGGGUGGCUUUCUAUUUGGAAGAAUGAGAAAAUUCAAAUACAAACAUCAGAUAAGAGAUAUCCAAAGAUGUAGAUAUGCAUGUACUUUAAGAAUUUGAGAAUUUAGGACAGGCACUUAAUUUUUGAAAUCAUUACUCUGUGCUUUCUUCCAGUAAAACUCAAAGAUUUUUUGUUUGGUUUCAGUAUGUAAGCUCCACAUACAUGGUGUGGUGCCACAUAUAUACAUAUAUGGUAGGCAACAAACAAUGACUUGUAAAUGCCUAAUGCUAUUUAAUAUCAAAAAGAGAUUAUUAAAUGAGAUAAGGUGGGUAGGGGGAGUGUACAUAUGUUUCACAAGCUUUCCAUGCUAAGCAGUAGAGGAGAUACUGCCUGUUGGAGUAUCAGUCUCAUAUGGCUCCUAUAUUAACUGGAACUUAUGGCAUCACAUUUAUUGAAUUGAAUUGAUGCAGAACGCUAAAAAUACUCUCCUCUCUGCUGAACUCAAUGAUUAUGUUCCCUAGCUGGCAUCUACACCACACUUAGCCUGUGUAUUUAGAUCAGCAACGAGGGCAGCAAAAGAUCUACUUUAUAUUUAUAGUUAGUUAAAUUUAAUUCAUUGGUGUGAGGAUCUCAGGUCAUAAUUGAAGUGACUAGUGAUCAUUUUUUUGCAAAAUUGUCCAUCACUGUCUUGCCCUUACCACCCUGACGUUUCCUUUCGCAUCUCCAUCUCCUGCUGCAUUCACUGAGAAAUGUCCUUCCUCGGGGCUCUCAUCGCUCACAUAGCGCAGGAAAGCGCUGGGUGACGGUACCUGCUCCCAGCCGCAAAGCUGGCUCUGCUUAUCUGGGGUCUGGACAGGUUAGCUAGCUCUGCGGUGAGCCAGGCCUUACUUCUUAUGCCUCAGUGACAUUAUAAGUGCAGUUUUUCUGGUAGCUAAGUGCAGUCAGACUCCCUCGGGAGCGCCCGCAGUGCUAGAUGAUACUGAAGGAGCAUAUCCUUGCUGCCCUGCUUUGCAGGAUGCUUCUCACUUUCACAAAGUUCAGCCAAACUCCUCCUCAUCUUCUGACAGCUCUGGUGGUUCCAAAUCAAAUCACUUCUUAUCUCCUUCCGUUUGUCUAAUUCGACUUUUCUCCUUCUCCUGACACACUCAGUUUGGCACAGGAGCACGCUCUGCCAGUUUGCCAUCUGGUACUCUCUUCUCGUACGCCGCCGCUUUCCUAAAGAGACUUUCCAUCACGCUUCAGAAGCUCCAUCGCUCUGCAGAGUCUUUACCCAUAUCUCCUGGUGUUUGUCCACUGCAGAGUCUUUACCCAUAUCUCAUGGUGUUUGUCCACUCAUCUCUUAGUUACCCUUUACCAUACUCUCUAGCUCUCCAGAGGACACUGAUCUGUUUUUUUUUUUUUUUUUUUUUUUCUGAUAGGGCUGAACAUUUUGUCAUACCAUGUCUUGAGGAAAAUCUAUGAAAGUUCUGGGGAAAACAAAAAUCAUUUAAAUUCACCAAAACCCCAUGUUCUGCCUGUCCUUCAAAAAUAUAAAAUUUCCUACAGAGUAGUGGUCACAACUGGAUGCAUGCUCCAGCUGCAGCUCCAUAAUGUAGAAAAUUGUAUGUCUUUAUGGUGAUUAAAUGAAAGUAACUUAAGCUUUUCAGUAAAUUGCUAGAUAAUUAUAAAUGCUUUAAAAAAAGUAUUCUGAUCAAUAGGGUAGUGCUGACUUUUGUGUCUCCUGUUUCGGCAGCCAUGGGAUAAAACUCUGCCAAUAAAUAUUUACUACUAUGUUGCUUUUA